ensembl:lncRNA
GCAGCUUUCGCCGCCUCUGACAUGCGUUACUUCUCCCGACCGGCUCCUCCGCGUUCUGCUGGUUACUCGUGGGCAUCCUUCUCUAGAGGGUAGAGGUGAAAUAAACCUCUCCCUUCCCGCUUUAAAGGUCCCCUCCCUGCAGAUGUCCCUGGAGCCCUUACGGGGGUUGGCCCCUGAGCUGGCGUUUCAUUGGAUGCAUCGCUGCUUUCGGUUCGGGGCACGUGGGGCUCCGUGGUUGGCUCCGUCUCACCUCGAGGCUGUCUUUCCAGUCUUUGCUCCCGCCUUGGUCUCUGCUGUGCUUUGCUUCUCUGGGGAAAAGAAGGUUGUGUUAGUGACCACAGGGUCUUGUGAUCGUUACGUUACCUCCCUUGGACUGUUGAACUUGAAGUGAUAACUGAUUUUCCGAAAUCGGGGUUCCAGUAGCUGUCCCCCAGGCUUCGGGGGAGCCAGUAUUUCAUCACGGGGAGAUGUGCGGUUACGAAGCCCUGCGGAUUGGGUCGUGUUCAUGUGCUGGAGUGAGAGCGCCAGCGAGGCGUGGAGGAGCGGGUUCUGGUUCUGAUAUGGUCUCCACCUUGCUGCGGCAUCUUGCAAGUCACUGCCCUGGAUGUCUGGUCUCUAAAUGAGGUGUUGGCACCAGUUGAUCUCUGACUAACCUCUAGCCUGAAACAUCUCAUGGUUCUUUGUACCACCUAUAUUCUGUUUGAAAGGAUUCUGGAAUAAAUGGUGGGAAUAAAAAUCAGCAAAGAAUGGCUAGCUUGUAGUCCUGAAAAGUGCAGAUUCGCAAUUAGUCAAAUGGCGUUAUAAAACAACAACCUUUCUGUGGCGUCCCGAGGCCCUUACUUUUGUUGUUGAUUUUCUUCUAAGUUGAGAUACAAUUCACAUGCUAAAAUCUCCCCUUUUGCUAAUUCAUGAUUUUUUUAAGUAUACUCACAAACAUUGUUCAGCUGUCAUCUGUAUCCAAUUCCAGAACUUUUUCAUCGCUCUGAAAACUCCACACCCAUUCGCAGCCGCUCCCCAUCCCCCUCUCCCUCAGUCCCUGACAGCCGCUACUUUCUGCCUCUAAAUCUGCUUAUUCCGGACAUUUCAUGUAAUGAAAUUAUACAGGAUGUGGGCUUGUGUGUCUGGCUUCUUUCACUUAGCCUGAUGUUUUCAAGGCUCAUCUAAGUUGUGGUAUGAAUCUGUACUUCAUUCUUUUUCCUGGCUGAGUACUAUUCCAUUGUAGGUAUAUAUAAUAUUUUGUUUCCCCAUUCAUCGGUUGAUAGACAUCUGGGUUGUUUCCACAUUUUGACUAUUAUGAAUUAUGCUGCUGUGAAUAUUCUUUUUUUCUUUUUUCCUUUUCUGCCGUAUGUACAGCAUAUGAAAGUUUCCAGGCUAGGGCUCAAAUCUGGGCUGCAGCUACCACCUACGCCACGGCUGCAGCAACUCUGGAUCCUUAACUCACUGUGCCAUGGGGGAAUGCCAGAGUAUUCUUUGUUUUUGUUUUUGUUUUUUUAGGGCUCUACCUGCAGCAUGUGGAAGUUCCCAGGCUAGGGGUCCAAUUGGAGCUGGAGCCGCCGGGCUAUGCCACAGCCACAGCAACUUGGGAUCCGAGCCACGUCUGCGACCUACACCACAGCUCACGGCAACGCCGGAUCCUUAACCCACUGAGCAAGGGCAGGAACUGAACCCGCAACCUCAUGGUUCCUGGUCGGAUUCGUUAACCACUGCGCCACGACGGGAACUCCAGAGUUCUUUAUAUAUUCUAGAAACUAGACCCUUAACAAAAGCAUGCUUUGCAGAUAUUUCCUCCCAUUUUCACCCACCCAGUGGUGUCCUGCAAAGCACAGAUGUUUUGAAUUUGAUGAAGUCCAAAGUAUCUCUUUUUCCUUUUGUUGCUUGUGCUUUUGUGGUCAUACCUAAGAAACUGUGGCCUAAUACAAAGUCACAAAGAUAUACACCUGUGUAUUCUUCUCAGCGUUUUAUAGUUUCAGCCCUUACAUUGAAGUCCUUGAUCCAUUUUGAGUUUGUUUUUGCGGUGGUGGGGACAGAUGUGAAGCAGGAUUAUGUAAAUAUCUCCUUGUCCCAGCCCCAAAGACUGUCCUCUCCGCCUUGGAUACUCUUGGCACCCUUUGGAGAAAUCAGUUGAUGUUUGAGGUGUGGGUUCAUUUCUGCGCUCGGCCGGUGCAUUGCUCUUUACCCUUACGCUAGUUCCCAGCUGUCUCCACUGCUUUAGGCUUACGGUGCUUUGGGAAGUCAGGAAGCCUGAGUCCUCCAACUUUGUUUUCUUUUCCAAGAUUGUUUUGGCCGGAGUCCCUUGCAUUAGCAUGUGAAUUUUAGUAUCAACUUGUCAAUUGCUACCAAAAAAAAAAAAAAAAAAAAAAAAAA